rnacentral:lncRNA from 1 species
UAUUUAUACAUCUUUUAAAAAUAUACCUUUAGCUUUUUCACAAGAUGGCACCAAAAGCGAAGAAGGAAGCUCCUGCCCCUCCUAAAGCUGAAGCCAAAGCGAAUGCUUUAAAGGCCAAGAAGGCAGUGUCGAAAGGUGUCCACAGCCACACAAAAAACAAGAUCCACAUGUCACCCACCUUCCGGAGGCCCAAGACACUGCGACUCCGGAGGCAGCCCAAAUAUCCUCGGAAGAGCGCCCCCAGGAGAAACAAGCUUGACCACUAUGCUAUCAUCAAGUUUCCGCUGACCACUGAGUUCACCAUGAAGAAGACAGAAGAAAACAACACUCUUGUGUUCAUUGUGGAUGUUAAAGCCACCACCAAGAACCAGAUCAAACAGGCUGGGAAGAAGCUCUAUGACAUUGAUGUGGCCAAAGUCAACACCCCGAUUCGGCCUGAUGGAGAGAAGAAGGCAUAUGUUCGGCUGGCUCCUGAUU